GGAGAGGUGGCCGAGUGGCUGAAGGCAGCGGUUUGCUAAACCGUCCUACGGGGAAACCUGUAGCGGGGGUUCGAAUCCCCCCCUCUCCGCCA
rnacentral:tRNA from 1 species